rnacentral:lncRNA from 1 species
UAAAAUUAAAAUAAAUUCGAGCAAUAAAAAGAUUGAAAUAAAUUAAAGGAAAUGAAUUUGAAAUAAAUCAAAGGAAUCCAAAAUGGCGGCGACACCCCCGCCGCCAUCUUGCGGCGAGGCGCUGCCGUACCACAAGAUGGCGCCACCCGGCGAUCCAUUCCCGCUGCUGUUCCCCGCAGCGUUUCAAACCGAACCGGGACCAAACCGAGCCCGGCGGCUUCAGCAGCACCGAUUUCACUCCCGGGACCGAUUUGAGCUCCCGGAAGCCGGGCGAGACUCGGGGAAACGGAGGGCGCAGGGAGCAGCCAUGUUUUACGGCAGGAGGAAGAUGGCGGCUCUUCCUUUUCUGGGGCAACCGGGGGUGAACCCAAGUUUUAAAUUACUGGGGGGGAUUUAGCGAUCUCUGGGGGUUUCAGUGAGGUCUGGGGGUCCCCUCUCCGAUUUUGAGUGGUUCUGUCCAACCGUUCCUUGGCCUUGCCGCCAUCUUGAGGGGCGGUGUAGCCGUUCAACAACAUGGCGGCACCCCGCCACCACCCCCGGUGCUGUUUUAAAGGAGUUUUUACCGCAAAUCGCGGCCAAACCGGGCAGACGAAUCCACCAUCACCGUUUAACCCCCGACACCGAUUUAAACCCAAGGUGAAGGGGGAGAACGGCGGAAAUGCCGGGUGUUAAAACUCAAGGAGGGCGCCGCCAUGUUGUACGGCAGGAGGAAGCUGGGGGAACUUCCGGUUCCGGUGGGGGAGCGGCCCCACGGCGGUGGCGGAGCGGGGGCUCCCCCUGUCCCAGCCUCCCAAAACUCCUUAAAAAUUCCCCCAAAAAAUUCCCAGAACAAUGGAUUGAGCCCCUCCCCCCCCUUGGAUGGCCCCCUGGGAUUUCGGGGGAUCCCAGGAUGGGGGAUUCAGAAAAUCCCGGGAAUCCCCCCCAGGAGGAGGAGGAGGAAGAGGGGGAGGAAGAGCUGGACCCCCGGAUCCAGGAGGAGCUGGAGCACCUAAACGAGGCCAACGCUGAAAUCAACCAGGGGGAGCUGGAGCUGGAUGUGAGCGACUGGGAGAACUGGGAGGGACUGGGAUGGACUGGGAGGGAACUGGGAUAAACUGGGAUGGACUGGGAGGGAACUGGGAUAAACUGGGAGGGAACUGGGAUAAACUGGGAGGGACUGAGAGGGAACUGGAAUAAACUGGGAUGGACUGGGAGGGAACUGGGAGGG